UAAACACAAUUUCAAACCAUUUCACAUCAAUAAAGACAGAGAUAAGCAGGGGCCGAAGUCAGGCGCCUGCGCUGGCGGCCAAAGGUGAAACUGACUCUCCGAGAAGGUGAAUGAGUAUCCUGAGAAGGGACUGCCCAGUUGAUCAAUGGUUUAGGAGAUCUGUGAAAACUGUCAGAGAUCCUACAUGCAACUGAAGUUGAUAUCAGAGACCACUGGAAUCAGUAGCAGCAGUAGCCAAGAAAGCUGUUUGACUGAACCAGUCUAACAGUGUGAUUGAACUUUCAACCAGCAAUAAGGAGCCAGUGAAGCUGAGCAAGGGAGUAACUCUUCCAUCACCAAUGCCAUGUCCAGAAGCAAACUUGAUGGAGAAAAGAACUCUCAGGGCCAGGAGUCACAAGUGGGAGAGAAGGAAGAUAUAUUUGGAAGCGAAGGCAAUGAAAAAUAAAAGAUGCUGACUUCUGGUUAAGAUGGUGACAUGGAAUGUCUAUAAGAACCCAGAUCACCCAUAAAUACCUCAGCAAAGAUCUAAGUGGGCACCUGAUUAAACAGUGAUUAAGAUGACCAAAGGAAAAUACCAAUAAGCUCCUCAAUUAUCUCCUCAACAAGACAGCCAGAAGCCUGCAGCUUCCAGAAGAGGGGAUAUGUCAUGGGAGGUAGAAACCAGCAUGAGCUCCCAUUCAUGGAGCCUGAAGCCAAUGAGAUCUUAGCCCUGGCCUGUCAGAGAAAUUGUACUGGUCCAAGCCAACCCCCACAGGUCACUAUGCGGGGAGAUGGGGCUGAGCAGUAUAAACCUCAAGGAAGUUCAAGCUGUAGCAGGAGACAGGGCCAGCUCAGCACCAGGUGUGUAGGUCUUGUAUCACACCUAAGACAAGCAUUAUCUCUGAAAUCUGAUUGGGACCCUUUAGGGCCACAGCAGGGUACAGAGCUUGGAGCUCACGCAAAAAGAAAGAGAUAGAGGAAAGGCCAAGCCCAGGAUUGUAACAGAGGGUGGGGCCCAGUCCCAGCUCUACUAUCCAGAAGUUCAGGGCCUCUGCCCUCCAGGAUAGUGAAGAGAUAAAGCCAAGAAGAGCUACAUGCAACUACAUGCAAAAGUCCUACUCUAGGAACUGAGGCUAGUGAUAUGAGUAAAUAAAACAAAACCAAAAACUCUAGCUACAAUGAAAAAAUAUUAUAGCAAUGUGAAAUUAUGGUAUUAUAGGUAAAAAGAACUCCCAGAGGUAAACCCAGAAAAAAAAAAU